CACAUUGUUUACUUGGCUUAAGAUUCCUACUUAUCAUUACUCCUAAAUCUCUCGCAGUCGGAUUCCACAAUGGCAUCGUUGUUCAUCUGAUUUAAAAUUGCGCUACCAUUCUGUUUUGCCUUGUAAUGAUAUGUUAAUUUUUCUUGUAAAUAUAUUAGUUUGUUUUAAUAUGUAUUUUUCAUUCUGGGUAUCUUCUCCUUUACAAUUAAACAACAAUUGACCUUUUGAAUAUUACAAAUCAGUAUUCCCCCUAACUUGACAUAGAUCUGUAGUUACCAAGAGGAGUGAACAGGAUCUUGGUGCUCUGGGAUAUAACUGACGCGAGGUAAAACAGAAACCUAAAUCCAGAGAGCGAGAUAGAGCCAUGCCACACCCAAUACAUAUAUAAAAAAGGUAAUAAAAUACACUAAAGAAACUAUGGAGUAUUCCCCUUACUAUCAUACGCAGGGAAUAUGUGAGAAAACUUGAACACCGACAUAGACUUAGAUGAGGACAGAUAUUGGGAAAGACAUUAUGGCUAUGGACUUGAUUUUUGCUGUGAUAAUACUCACUAGAAAAACAUGAUAGCGAGCAACUUGUGAUAUUCUUCAACCUUGAGCUGGCUCAUGUGUGUCUUUGAAACUCAUUGUGCAGGGAGCACUAGGAAAUCAGUAUCAAAAAUUUUCCGUGCUACUAUAGUGUGCGGUUUACAAAGAUAUUAGUCUAACCUAACCUAACCUUAUCUAACCAAACCUGACCUAACCUAACCUAACCUUAUCUAACCAAACCUGACCUAACCUAACCUAAGCUAAACUUAACCUAAAUAUCUUGUAGACCGCAUGCUAUAGUAGCACGGAAAAUAUUCUGUUUUUUAAAGCUAUUUAAGCCUCUAUCGUAAGUGUAAGAGUAUGGUUUUGUAUCGCAACUGGAAAACAAACACAUAAUUUACUCGAAGGUGAAAUGUACUGUAGUUCCAUCACAUAUAACGACGGUGACACCAGUGUUAAGUUACGUAAAUAUGUUAAGUAAUAUUGUGUCUCGGUACUGCCUUAGAUUAAUGGAACACGCUAUAUGGCAGUGUUCUUGAUCAUGGACCCCAAGGAACUUCUUCAGCAAAACAUUCGAUGGUUCCACAAAUAACCAAACGCUCACCACCGAACACACAAAUACAAUAGAUCUACACAAAACAACAAAUAUUUACAACAAACAAAUUAUAAUGAAAAAAGACAGUUUUGAAUUCACCUCAGAGUGUAUUGGCACCAGCUAUCGUAAAGAGAUAGAAUAAUGGUAAGAUUGGGUUAAAAUAAAGGUAAAUGGUUGAAAAUUGACUAGGGCGUGAGAUAAGGAUGGUUAUUGCGUAUUUCCAUUUGUGUUUAUCUAAUUCAGAGACACCGUGGUGUGAUCUGCUUGCCGGAAGGACAGAAGAAGUGACCAUGGACACACGUAUCAUAAUCCUCUAAGAUCAAAUUUUAUGGAGGGUCUUAAAAGUGAAGUUAAGAGAUGAAAACAUUAUUCAGAAAGGAAGGGAAUGACGUGAUAAAGAAGGAGAUAUCAACGGAUGUCGUUACCCACGGCGUUUUCAGCGUUUUCCUGUCCAUGGCGUCAUCACCAUUCUGGCAUGUAUUCAUAGAUGAGGCAGUAGGUGGAUGUGAGUUUGUAUUAGAAGAAUUUUAAACAAAGUAGAACACUAUCUGUAUGAUAUGGACACAAAGUAGUACCUUAAGCUGUGUACCCUUAUAUUACUCCAUUAAUUAUGUAUAGUAAAGUAUUACAGAACAAGUAUUAAUUCUAUGUAAUAUUCCCAUUUAUUGUGCAACAUGUUAAGUAUAUAAACUAUCUUAUUUACAUUGUAUGUAUUUAGCUUGUGAAUGCUGGCAUCUGUACAUCCCAGCGCGCAGUAAUACAUAGAGUGAAGACUGCCAGUCCUUGUGGUGCGGAAGUGAGCUUCUUGGUCCCUUUGUAUAUAUAUCUCCCGUACGAGAAUAGAACCUACUUUUAAGAGAACAAGUGUUUGUGUAUACCCUCAGUAGUAUAGAACAUUUUGUGGGUAUCAAGACGAACACAGACUAGCUAAGUGCGUACUGAUAAGGAGUAUCUCUCGGAAAAGGUGAUUUUAGCACGAGCCAUUAACCGAACUUCAAAGAGCACUGGAGGAAUCAUUGGAGACAGAAGACGUUAUAACAGAAAAAAAGGAUUGCUAAUCUGUAACUCACUAAAGAUUCUGCAAGAUAAUACCUGCAGUCCUCUAAAGGAGUGAAAUGAGUGGAGCAUCCUUUGUUCUCUUACUAUUGCUGUGGAAGUCGUCGACAGCGGACGCACGGCUAGUUUCCUCUCAGUAUCUCUCAAAAGGUAGAUGUGACGCCUCUUAACCAUUUUGCCUGAACACAAAGCGAAUCGACGGAGUGGUGCUCUGUGAUGGUUGACCCAGGGAGGAUGGUGACCAUUGAAAUGCUACAACCCUGCUGGUGGUUGGUGGUGGUGAUGAUCAUCCUUUCUGUGACAACACCCUGCCCUUCACAUGAAUGUCAUACGGCAAGGGGAAAUUAUAUUUCCAUUCCUUUCUGUGGGAAGGACGCAGCAUAUUGCUGGUAUUCCCUCUGGACCAUUAAUAAUAUCCAAGUGAGGCUGCCAGGAAAAAAGAACAUAAAGAUAGCGGUAAACAUGACUGAAGCUGAAACUAUACAAUGCCAGGAAAUCAUCAUCAAAGGAAACCCUACUGAGGAAAUGAAGAACUCAAACACUGAUUAUCUCAAGGGCUUUAUAACAAUACCGACACUCAACUUAUUAACAGAUUUUUCUUAUCCACAACAAAAAAGGAUUGUGUAUAUACAAAUUUCAAGUAAAAAAAUCAGUGAUCUUAUUGGAAACAGUGGCGACAUGUCUUGUGGUUGUCUUCAAUAUUCUUUAGUUGCUCCCCCAGAGGUGAGCAGAGAGACAACCACCAACACAUCAACCACCAUCACAACAACCACCAUCACAACUGUUGGAGAAAAUUAUUGGUGGAUUGGUCUAGUGAUGGUGUUGAUCAGCGUGGGUGUCUCUCUCCUCUUCUACAUAUUUGCAUGGAAACGAGGCCCCCGAAAAACUCACCUUCAGGGGUACGACUUCGAAGAUCCUAUUUACGAUGAUAUAAUGUAGAAGAAGAGUGUGUCAGGAGGCAGACGGAGGUCAACAGGAGGGCCACACGUGAGCAGCGAGGGUCUAGUUAUCACACUGAGAACCGUCUCUAUGCCUCCUGUGUCAAGACAACUAGACAACAGCACGCCAUAGAGUAUAUCAAUUACGAGCAGUUGGUGGCUGUGUGGGGAGCCUCAUGCUUCUUGAUACAGAUGAUCUACCAGCAUAUAGGCAGGUCAGCCCCAUACCUCACCCGGCCAUCAACACUCCUGCUGCAUCGUGAUCUCUAACUAGCAGAGGACCAUCUGUUCUCACACAGGCACUUACACUACCAACAGAAUGAGGACAAUAGCGAGACUAAACGACGGUACCGACCACAGUAAAACUCUACAUACAGUGAUAAACACUUAUUCGUAUCAACAUCAUUUAGAAUGUAAAUAAUGUUCAUGAUAAGUCAUGUCAUUCCUUUGGUUCUCAUAAUUCUACUUGACUUUGUCUUAGUCAGUCAUGUGGGCUACUAGGUUAAUAUGUUCUCCCAAUGAUAUAGAGAUAAUAAACUAAGUUGUCUACUUUAUAAGGCAUUUUGAACACUACAACCUUACUGUGAUUGGCCCUGGGUAGUAUUGAUGAUGCUCAGCAAGAGAACAUUUAUUGAUGCUAUACUGAUUUUUACCAUUAUUAACCACUAUGUAGCUAUGAAGUAUAUUAUAUAAAUCACUAUUUUAAUUUAUAAUGAAGAAGUAUUUAGU